GCUUUCAAACCCACUUCAAUCUCUGAUACACCCUUUGAUAAUACAAAGAGAUCUGAGAUGGAAAGAAAUUAAGCGGUUGCUAUCUCAGGGUAAUAGUUUGUGUAAAUGACCUCCUGGACUCUGGGUUACUUUGAAACAAUAUGAGGGGAAAGCUGAUAUUUUUUGUUUAAGGAGGUGCGACAUUUCUUUCAGGAGGAUGUCAUUCCUGGAUUUCUUGUGCAGAAAUAGUAAGCACUUUCAUUUCCUGCCAUCCUCCAAGAGAGGAACAUACUAACAGAGAAAAGCAUAGACUGUAGUCCGCCUCAUUAUUUAAUGUUCUGCUAAGAGGUUUUUCCUCUAAAGUUAUGCAAGGAUAGAGGGCACUAUGGCCUUCCCCAUCUGGCUGCUUAUGUAAGAAUGGAUAUUUUGCUGGAAACAUGUCAUAUCAUCUGACACUGGAAAUCCUUUAAUUAGGUUUUUAUUACUAAGGGGGGCUGUGGUGGCUAGUGUUGUGGGCUGUGGGGGCGCUGCAGAUGAGAUAGCAUGCUAUCAUUUAUCAGGAACAUUGAAGGUCCAAAAAAUUACAUGCAUUGGAGAGAGGGGCCAGUAAACACCAGUAACCGCCCCCUCGGUGGGAGAUUCAGUAUCCUCUACCAUGGUCAGCUUUAUGGGAAGUUUGGGGGGAGAAGCACUCGUGCUUGUGGGGAAGUAUUACUCGAAAGAUUUUGGAGGGAAAAAGACAGGCGUCAGGGUAUCCCCUGCUCACAAGGGUCGUGUGGGUUAAAACAAUGACUUUAUUCAGAGGAGUAGUGGGGGAUUCUGCAUCUCUGCAUAUUAUUGGGGUGGGCUUCGAAGUAGUUCAAGGGCAGCACCGAAUCCCCCACGUAAAAAUAGAAAUAAGCUUCUCCUCAGUGUUGUUUCUCUAUGGGUGGGGCAGUGAAAAUUCAUGGGAGGAAAAGAGGCGGCUCAGACUCAGCAGCCAUCCUAGCAGGCCAGGGCCGGUUUGAGCCGGUUGAGACUGGUUGAGACUGAGCUGGAAUGAGACAUCAACUGUUGUUUAGGCUGAGGUUCUGCCGCACCAAAGCUGACUGGAAUCUCUGGACUGGAUCACUCCCAGAAGAUCCAGGAGCUGCAAUCCCUGCUAGAAUAUGCUACUAGAGCCAGAGCUCAGAGCAAAUGCCAGUAGCAGCAGGGCUGCAUGGAAGCUGUGGACAGGCUUUAUGCCUGGAGAUGGAGUUUUUGCCUGCAGGAAGGGCAGCCAGAGCUGCUCCAGCUCAGAAUCCAACCUGGGUUUUGUUUCUCUCCGUCUUCCAGCUAGAACUGGUUUAGGGGGAAAAGAGGCCUCUCAAGUAUCGGUUUUCAGGGAGAGCAGCUGGUGUGGAACCAAAGUGUGGGGGAGGGGUGCCAGCUUGUCUGUGAGCACAGAGUGAAUGUGGGAAAGGUGGGGGGGAGGGGAGCAUUUUCCUUUUGUCUCUCACACGCAUUCACAAUAGAAAUGUGCUGUACAGACACCAAAAGGAGAGACCCGGCCACAAAUACAUUUCACAGAAAACCCCACCUUCACAUAUAGUCAUGUGUGAACAACAUACAGGCUGCACAGCUCCCAUAGCUUCACAUAAAAACAAAGUAAUGAGGUUAAACAUCAGUGUGUGAUAUCCCCCCCCCCCAAGCACUGAGGCAGGCAGAAUGCCCAUGUGCAGAACAAAGGUCAUAUUGCAUCAUGCACAAGAAAUGUGUGUGCAAUACCAGAAUUAAAAGCAUAUCUUUAUAGCUCCACCGACACAAAUAUAUGGACAACACAAAAUAUACAUACCUUAGAGUGAUGCAUGUGCUUCUUGAUAAAAAUACUAAUAUAACUUUAAAAACACUGCAAAGUACAUUAGUGUUAAUUAUCUAGAAAGUUAAGGGUCUAUUAUUUUUAUUCUUCAAUUGUUCAUUUGUGUAAAUAUAAUGUAAAUAUUCUGUUCUAAAGACAAGUUUCUGCUUGUAAACUAUCCUUUAUAUAUUGUAAAAUAAUACAUGUGAUUCACUGGUAUGGGAAGAUGCUUGUUCUGUCUAGCCCAUUCUUAACAAAAUCAAAAUCUUUCCUCAGACUGUGCCUCCUUUUUGUUUCAAAAGUAAAAUUAAGCAAAUAUUCUUGUGUUACCCUUGGAUAUGCCUUCUCUGUUGUUUCAAGUUUUAACAAUUGCCCACAACUACUGAAAGUCAAAAUUGCCUCUGGAAAAAACGAAUUGUCAUAAGACAGUGGUAAAACUUUAUUUUAAAUAUACAAAAAUAAGAAUCUCAAAUGAAAGAUAUGUGCGCGCGCACACACAUGCACACACACAUCCCACAUAUUCAAGACUAUAAUUUUUACAUCAUUAAUUAAUAAAAAAUUGAAGUGUGAUAUUCCACAGCUAUUUUGAAUUUUUUCCCUAGCAUCCAAGGAUGGAGCUACAUAUUACCUUGAGAAACAUGUGUUCCAUGUUUGAUGAGGUAAUAUGAAUACAAGAAUAGGGGAGAAUCAAAAAAGUGGGAAGGUGAGGUGUUUAACCCUUCCCAUGCCAACCAGUUCUCCUACUCAUUUACACACACACACACACCAACACAUCAACUGCUUCCCCCUAGCUAGGCUUGUUCUGGUCUCAGAACUCAGUCAGGGGGAAAUGGGCUCAAAAUAGCCAGAGGAAGGAAACUUGGCAGGAAGUAUCAGCAGGCAGGGGAUGGGUUAAUACAUUCUCCUCCUCCUCACUGUUUCUUCCCUGAAGCAUUAUCAGAUACCAUCAAUCACUGAUUUAGCCCGGUUGUUUUCCUCUUUCCUUUGUGUUAAUCUAACUGUGCUUUCACUAUGUACAGGUUUCUCCAUACCUAAGGAAGCAACAGUAUUAUUAAGACAUUACUGUACAAAGAUUACUUUCAGUCCAUUGACUUGCUGGAAUCAUAAACAACUUUUCAAAGAAAAAGCAAAUAAGUUUAACUAAGAAUUAGCUCGUGUCACAUUGUCAUUUUAUGAAGAAGCUACAAUAUCAUUAUAAUAAUACUGCCUGUGUCCUGGAGGUAACAUAUGAGCAAAGUGCUUGAAACUGUCUUGUGAAAUCUGGUUUUGAUUAAUAGAAUCAGAGUGCUUGCAGGAAAAUACCUCAAAAGGUCAUUUAGUCCAACCCCGUACUGAUGCAGGAAAUCCCUGGUGGUUACCAUUCAACAUCUGCUUAAAAACUUAUGUCCCACUGACAAAUAGAAGUUCUUCUGAAUGUUAACCUAAAUUCUGUUUCUUGUAGUUUGAACCAAAUGGUUCAGGCCCCACUCCCUGGAACAACAGAAAUCUAUGUAACAGCUCUUCAACUAUGCAAAUAUGGCUAUUACAGGUGGCAACAAUUUUGCACAGAGCAUCCAUUCCUAGCCCCCAUGCAUGUCAGCAGAGUGCACAUAAGCCUGCCCUACACCUGCUCCACCUGUUCUGUCCCCCAUUCCACCCUCUUCUGGGUCCAAAAGGACCCAUGUGUUGGCAGUCACAUGUCAAUUGGAUGCGCGCAAAAUGGUCACAACCUGUAUAUUGCCUCUAAAUCAACCCUUCUCUAUGCUAUAUAUACCCAACUCUUUCAACCUUUCCUCAUAGGAUGUAGUCUCCAGGUCUUCAUGAUCUUUGUCACCCUCCUCUGUAUACAUUCCAGGAAUCUUAAACUGCAGUGCUCCGAACUGGACAUGAUCAGGUAAGGUCUGACAAAAGCAGAACAGAUUGGUACCAUUGCAUUGUGUGAUGUGGUCAAUAUACCUCUGCUUGAAUCAACCAAGAAUUGCACUAGCCUUUUUAGCUGCUGUAUCACACUGCUAACUCUUGUUUAGAUUGAGGUCUAAUAAAACCCCCUGGAUCCUUCUCAUGGGUACUGUUAUAAAGCCAGGUGUCAUUCAUAAUGUAUUUGUUUGCUUGGUUCUCCCUCUAAAAUGAGAUUUUAUAGCCUGCAUCUUUGCUAGCGCAAAGUUUGCAGUAUCCUUUUUGACCAAGUUACUUUCUUAAGACAUUUGGAACCUUUAUCUUAUUCAUUUUUUUUCUGCCCACAGAUGGAGACUUGUUUCCUCUAACUUCUGAAAACUCUGUGAGUAAAAUAUUCCCUUACUAGCUAUGCUAAGUGUCUGUGAUUUAUUCUAGCCUAAGUAUUUUUGUGGGGAACAUUUGUUUAAAGUGGAUAAAGGCAGAUAUAAAUCUAACCAAGUUUUAUUGUGCAUGGAGCAAUCACCAUUGUGCUGACUCUGCUACAAGAGAUUAAGAAUCUCUCUUUCCAACACAGAUUCUCUCACUCUAUACAAUGAGCUAAAUUACGCAGUACUUGGUCUCAUGCAUUGAGGAGCACAUCCCCCGUGUCUGGAUGGUCUAGGAUAAGGUUGAGUGUAUGACUUGCUGAGUCAUACACUCCUAUUGGUUCAGGAAAUAUGCUUACAUGUAGAGAUGGGUAUAAUAGUCUCUAGGUUAUUGCUUUCAUUAUGCUUUGUCCUAUCCUGGUCUUGUCCCUUUCCUGUCCUAUUUGCUGUCAGGGUCUGACUCUGAAUUGUGAGAGUCAGGGGAAGAGACUGUGGGUUUUACAAAGCAGCAUUAGCUAGCAUGGUAAUAGUGUCAGUGGAUCUCUGUACAUAUAUAUCUUUACCUCAAAGACCAGAAUAACUUCUUAUAGUAGAUAGUAGCGUUUAGCUUUGUAUUAUGUUUGGAGACAAUAAACACUUUGCUACUUUGAACUUUGUGGGAGAGAAAUUUUCCCCUUAAAUGGGGACUCUGGAAGAAACUGUUCUGCUGGGAGCAGGAAACUCUGAAAACUCUCUGAAGACUGCUGGGGUUCGUCAUACUCUGCUGAUACAACACACUGUUUGAGGUGUGGUUGAACUACCAACUGACUUUCACAAGUCACCAACAGACACCCACCUUGUGGGGAUAAUAAUUAUACAUUUUAUCUGUACUGACAUUAGCAGAGUAAUUUUUAAGAUCAAUGAAUCAUUACAUUUGUAUGCCCCCUUCCCAAAGUUAAAACCAUGUUCAGUGCAGCUUACAACAUACACAAAAUUAUAUAACUGCAAACAUAACAAAAGUAGUAGUCAUAAAAAAUAAACAAAACAUCAGAAAGUACGCAAACAAAUAGAACCAUUUCCACAUAAAUCAUAAGAUACAAAAUAAAGAUACAAAAACAGUUAUAUUACUAAGAAAUAGUUUAAUUCUACAUAGGAGGUAACUUUAGACUAUGAAGGUUUUAUCUCACCCACAGCUGAUAUGGGUCAACAGAAUUUAGAGAUAAUUGUUUCCACUGAAACUAAUAUACAAGCUGAUGAAACAUCCUGCAAGGCAGUCCACAUAUGUUUGGCUCUUGGCAGGAACCAAAUGAUUUAUAUCUGUGAGUCUUCAACACCCAAGGCUAUGAUUACCUGAACCUUCUCAUCCUGGCAUGCCCAGGCUUCUUCAUCAUCUGGGGGUUCAGUAACAAGAGUCCAAAUUCCCACUCUCUUCAGGAAUAUCUCCAUUUUAUAACUCCAGUUUGAAUAGUUUGAAUCAUUCAGUCUCUCAAGUGACAAACCAUAGUGCAUUCCUUGAGCCAUAGUGAUACCACAACACACUUCACCAACAGGUCACUAUGCUCUCACCUUCUUGUAGACCAGACCAGCAAACAGAACUUGAGAAGCUGCAACUGGAGCACUCUAGACUCUCGCUGGCUUACUCAGGCUCUUGCAGAUGUGUCCUGGGCCCAUAACCUGUUAUUAUUUCUGAAAGUCAGUUGGCCCAUAACCUGUCAGACAUGAACCCACCAUCUAUUGAUACCACCACACUUCAACCAGUGUGACUAGCAGAGUUUGCUCAACUCCAGCAAAGUCUUUCAGGAGAACAUCAGAGUUUUCCUGAUUUCCAGUAGUCAGUUUUCUCCAGAGUUCUCACUCAAAAAACCUCCUUCCUUACUGAGCUGAAAUUAAAGUAUAAAGUGUUUAUUGUCUCAAGAGACAAGACAAAUCUACUAACUGCUAUAAUACUGUUCUUCUGGUCUUAGAAGUAAAGAAACAAGCAUACAGAGAGAUCCACUAGCACUUUACCAUGCUAGCUCACACUGCUGUGUACACCUAACACAGGGGCUCCCAGACUCUCCCCCUGUCGCCCCCAGAUAGAGAAUGCAAUGCAACCUUGACUUUUAUACCCAUCUCUGCAUGUAUGCACAUUCCUGAGAUAAAAUGAGGGUAGAUGAGUCAGCAAGUCAGACUUUUGGCCUUGUAAUAUUGCUAUGCUACCCAGUACACCUGGUGUUCUAUCUCUAAACAAGAUAACAAGAUCCAAACGUGGGGGGCAUGCUAGCUCAAGACAGAGAUCAAGCAAUUAGUGCAAUUUCACACCUUAUUCAAACUACAUCAACAAGCUACCUAUAUCUUGUACUUUCUAUAUAUACCCUAAUCUUGCCAAGUGGUAGCAAGAUUCCAGAAGUCUUGGCACUUUACCAGGCACAGUGGAGACUAGUGUCUUUAAAAACUAUGGUUUAUUUUACACAUAUUUACACCUGAGGGGGUGCACAACAUUACAUCCUAAUAGUGUCUCUUGUUGCUUCACUCAUAGCUUCAGCAAGCUUGCAUCCAAAGCAGCAGCCUGUAAUGGCCCUCAGUCUCCCAGUGCAGCCUCUCCCAGCCAGUGUGCAUGUAGUUCUUCCUACUUUUAUUCUUCCCAGCAGCUUUUGCAGAAAAUACCACCUCCUCUUCUGCUUGCAGCAUCCCCUCUGUUACCCUGGCAACCUCCAUUUCAAAAGCCUCCUGUGAAAAGCACUUUUUCCUGUGGUCACAUCACAGUCCCUGCAAUCCUGGUAGCCUCCCCCUUUCUUGUCUGAUACUGAAUGUCUCACCUUUGGCAGGGCAGUUGCCUUUGUUCUUUGAUGGCACCUCUUUAAGCCAAUCUCCUGAGGGAGCUGGCAACUUCAAACUCCACAUUUACUAAUUUAAAAAACUAUGGGGAGAACCUGGCACCCAGGAAUUUUAGGGGAUCCUUGCCUCCUGCAAACCCAUAACAGAAUUAAAGCACUGCUUUCCAUUCAACCCCCAAAAUGUUAUGUCUGACAAAAUCUGUGGUAGAUGUCCACUAUCCCAAUUUCUGUUUUUAUUAUAGCUGGGGGGAGGGGGCUGAUAAGGAAGGUAGUCUAACCUUAUCAAUCACAUGAGCCUGAUUUGUGGCACAUCAUUUAUCAAAUUUGAUAAUGGAGGUUCCACUCACUAUCAUCAAUGCUGCUCUUCUCAAAUACCAUACUGCACCAAUCAAUGCUGCUCUUCUCAAAUACCAUACUCAUUUCCCCCAAUUUGGGCCUUAAGUUCCCUUGCCUUAAGUUCCUCCCACAUUCAAAUACCCCUGACUCCAUGUCCCCAUCCCUCAGUAUUAAUCAGGCUGGCAAAAUAGUUUUCUACAUGGAAAAUUUCUGUUAGUGAUUUUGACUCAUUGGCUGGCAGCUGGCCCAUGCUACACUGAGAUGCUGUCUAAAGCAUGGAAAAAUAUUGCAGAAAGAUGUGAUUUUGACAUCAAAUAUCACAUCUUUCUAGUACAAAAUGACUGGAUCUCCAUAUGUGGCAAAAGGCUUUGAACAGAAACAAUCCUGAGGUACUAUUACAACACUGCAUUUCCCUCAUGAAGCCACUAUAAUCUGAAGCAACUAAAAUAUUUGCAUUUAUAAUUGACUCUGUUCUUUCUACUAUAGGCUAAUAUUUAUAUUUAAUUAUUUUAUUAAGCAUAUUUAUUUCUAGCCUGUCACAAAAUGUCCUAGAGACGGGUGGAUAGCAUCACAAUAAAAACAACAGUUAAAACAGCAAUGUACAAAUAGACAAAUAGCUAUGACUACAUCCUGCUGGAUGAAUAAUUUGAUAUUAUCUCCAUAGCUACUACACCAAGAUAAAUUGGUCCAAAACUCACCAUGUUACCUCUUACUCUUUGUGAUAAAAAAACUUAUUAUUUUAAUUACCUAGUAUCACCAUAUAACAGAUGGAGUUAAAAAUAAUCCAUAUACUUAAGCUUUCGAAUGUUAAUACCACUGUCCCAACUGUCACUCUGUCAUUUCAAACUGCCAUCUUUUGUUGAUUCCUUCAGUUAGCAUCUAGUUCUGAACCUCUUUUCCAUUGACUAUUUAUCCAUAGCAUUCUAUGCAGGACCGCUGAAUGAUGUUUUACUGACCUGCAGACAGUUUUUCCGGGUCAUGUGGCCAGCAUAACUAAGCCGCUUCUGGUGCAACGGAACACCGAAACCAGAGCAGUGCAUGGAAAUGCUGUUUACCUUCCCGCCGGAGCGGUACCUGUUUAUCUACUUGCACUUUUUUUGGUGUGCUUUCAAACCUAGCUCCUGCUAGGUUGACAGGAGCUGGGACCAAGCAACGGGAGCUCACCCCGUCGUGGGGAUUUGAACCGCUGACCUUCUGAUUGGCAAACUCAGUGGUUUAGACCACAGCGCCACCCGUGUCCAUAUAUAUAUAUAUAUAUAUAUAUAUAUAUAUAUAUAUAUAAUUACUGAGCAUUAUAUCCAUUUUUGGUUAUGCCAAGUAAGCUCAAUAUCUGUGUUUCUUUGUGAGCAAAGGUUUGAUUUAUUAGUUUGCAAUCCUAAACAUACCUGUAAGGGAAUAAGCUCAAGUGAACUUCUGAAUAAAGAAGCAAUGCAUUGUGCUUUUAAUCAUCUAAACCAUCUUAACAAACACUUCUUAAGUACAAAUAUAAUGUGUAGCUCUCUGUAGAAUAAUAUCUUUUUUUUAAAUCACCAAAGAAAAAAUAACAGGAGUUAUGACUGCAUAGAAACCAUUUUCUCAGUGUGAAUCCCCAGCUGGAUGGGAAGUCACUCUUGCAAAUGGAAGUUACAUGGGCAAUUUCCCAGCUGAAUCUAGCAUCUAUAUGCAUGUAGCCAUUUAGAAAAAAAUAUAGAAAUCCUAUUUGUUCAGGAUGGAGUGGGGAGUGCUAGAUUCAGCUCCUCCUGCUCCCCACUCCCCACACAACUGCUUGGCAUGAUUUAAACUUUCCCCCUAAAAUGGCUGAACAGUGCGUACUGUAUUUUUCCGUAUAUAAGACUAGGUUUUUUCCCUUAAAAAAUAAUGUCAAAAAUUAGGGGGCGUCUUAUACACGCCCCCCCCCAUUUACUUAAAUCUGAGUCCCCCCAAAUAGGGGCGUCUUAUACAUGGGGGCAUUUUCUAGAUGGAAAAUACGGUAAUUUACUUAACCCAGGACCUUAAGAGUCUAAAUGUUAGCGUCUGUGUUACAACUUUUCAACAUCACUCUGAUUAUCUCUAUAUUUCAAGGUGUAUGUGCAGCUUGGACUAGUAUUGCUUGCGAAUAUUAGUAUAUGAUAGAAAGCACAAGAGAGACAUUUUUUGAAUCAGGUAUACACAUUCUAUUCAGCAGAACCUUUUAAAAAAACUUUAUUAUAAGGAUACAAGGACAGAGGGAGACAAAAAUGUUUGCACUGGUGAAAGUGCCCUUAAUUUACCUUAUACUAUGCACUGAACCAUAUUGGUUUCAAGAACUCAUAAUCCUGAAACAGAAUUAAUUGCUGUGAUAACAUGAUUUGUAAAGAGCUGCUGGGCUCCAGUUUUAAAAAGGCAACAUGCUUCCUGCUAUAAUCACACAGAAACAGGUGGUUCUCCUUACUGAAACACACAUACCCUUCAGCAGUGCUUUUUUUCUGGGGGUACGCAUACCCCUAAACAUUCAGUGAAUCUUUGUACUUUUGUCCAUUUACUGUAUUUAUUUCCCCAAUUUGAACUAUAAAAUGGUGAUUGUAUUGAGUCAAAAUGAGAGUACAGUACCCUUAAACAUUUUUUUAGACAAAAAGUACUGCCCUUCAGCACUUCAGGACACACACUUUGAUCCUUUUUACUGGAUUGGGACUACAUUACAAUCCAAACAUGUGAGGGUUAUUAUUUUUGUUUGUUACUAUGUUAUUUUUUAUGGUUUUAUGUUAUACACCAUGCUGUGAUCCUCAAGGGUGAUAUAGAAACAACAGCAAUAACAACAAAUUUGAUGUCCCCUUCCACUUUUCCAUAAUAGAUUAUUGGACCUAUCAAAUCAGAGAGCCUUUGAAUGGCAAUUUGCAUAGGAUAAUUAGGGCCCUGAUAUUUUAACAGCUACAGAUUUCUCUUAGUAGAGCUUUUGUGUGUCGAUUAGACAAAAUAACAAAUCCCUGGUUGACAGCUAAUUUUGACCAGGGGCAUAUUUUGAACGGAAGAAAUGCUGAUGGACUAGCUAAACAGGCUUCAUCUACUGACUUAUAUCCACAUUGUAAAGACAAAGGCUCUUCAACUAAUUAACUUUCACUCCCAUGUUUGAGAGGGUUCUGAGAGGAUCAUUAUGCACCUCACUACUCACCACCAUGUACAUGUUUGAACACAUCCAAACUCCAGAUGAACAGCAUCACAUGUUCUAUCAGACCUACAGUAUAUACACCUCAGUAGUUGUCUCUUGGUUUUGGCCCCUUGUGUCUGUUUCUGUUUCCACUAGGAAGUCAACCUAGCCCUGAACUUUAGCCAGAAUCACACUCACCCCAAAUACUGCAAUGAUUUGAAUAACGUAUUUGUUGAAUUUAAACUGGAAGGGAUUUGAAGUUAAAAUAUCAGGAUUAUAUUUAAGCAUUCAACCAAUUAAACCGAUUCACGUUCAAUGGCCUCGACCAAAGAGACACUUAACGAAUAUGUGAAAGGAUUUUAUACAUUUGGGACUCAUCCAGACUUCCAUUCACUUCAAAGCCUGGGAAGCAACUGGCAGGAAAGAUGCUUGCUUUUUUCAAAGCUACCAUCCACGACAGCACACUGUAAAUUAAAACAGUGGAAGAAGAGGAGAGAGCAAAGAGGACAGCAUAUUUGUACGCUGUCGGGAACAGUACCUAUGCUGUACUGCGCAGCUACUCGCUGUGGUAGUUUAAAUUGUUGCGGAAACCUUUCUAUUUGAAUCUUUGGCCUAAAGGGCAUUCUGCAUAGUUAUUUAUUAAAAAGUUAGUUCUCUUCAGAAGAAGCAUUGUCUAUGGUGUUUAGGCCUGCAGAGUGCCAGGCAGUUCAGAGUGCAACAGCAUCCAAGAUCCGAGGUACGUAGCUUCAAUGGUGUAGGGAUGUGGAAGUCUGACAACAUUGGAGCGGGUGAUGGUUAGCAAUGUAAGAGGAUGGAGGAACAUUUUAGUUCAACUAACUGUGUUUUGAUUGUUUAUGGAAGUAAAUGGAAUUAAUCCCAGGAGCACUCUACCCCUUUAUUAAUCUCUGUGACAAAAAUGGCAAAAUGAUUUAGUUUUAAAGACUAACUGAUAAUUUUCACCAUGAUUCUAAGGGAAGAGUGCAUGGUAACCAGUGCUUUUUUAUUUUUUAGAAAAAAAAGGUGCCGGUACUCACCCAUGAAGUUACAGUAAGUGCCACACUUUUAAUUUGGGGGGAGGGGGAGGUGCUGGUACAGCAUACCCUUGAGUACCCCCAGAAAAAAGCACUGAGAAUAACAUUACACCAUCACAAAAUGGAUAUACGUCUGCUCAAAAUGGCUGGUUUCAUAUCUAACAGGUUACAAGCGCAAAAUUCAAAAUGGCUGUUUUAACCAACACCUUUCCCCAGUAAUUAUUUUUAAAGGGCAAAAAGAUCCUGUAUUGGCAGCAGAAUUUGUACCAAGGUUGCAGGCUUCUUUCUGUUCUCCAAAGGGAGGGUUAAGAAGUAAACCACUGCUUCCAUUGUGACUGCUAGCAGGUAGGCGAGCCAAUCUUCUGUGGCUCCUGUUGCAGCGCUCUGCUUGUCUGGCACUAAGGGGGGCGGAGGGAGCAAGGAAGAGAGAGAGGAAGCCCUGCUGUAAUGAAAAUGUUGUGGCUUCCUGUUAUGCUCUCACCCAGCCCCCUAUUUAUUCUGCGGGAACAUUCACCUAGAUUUUCUACGCUAACAUGAACUCUGGCUGAAACAUCUGUAUUUGAUUCAAAGAGUUUAUUUUGCAUUUUGAUGUGCUUUUCCUUUGGUUACUCUCCAUUCAUUAUCUGCUUAACUAUUUAUGAAAUCAUGGGUCGACAAAUAACUAUUUUAUUCAAAGUUUUACAAAACAAGGUAUAUUCUGGGUCCAAUAGAUAUAUAUAUGCAAAAUAAAAAUAAAAAUGCAAGCUUAGUUUGUGGUUUUUAUAGUGUUAAUACAUUAUUGUUUCAUUAUAUUAAAACUGCAAUAGAAAAGAUUUCGUAUGCUUGAAUUUAUGAUACCUAAGACAGAGGGAGAACAAGGUGUUCACAUAUUUGGCAAAUAAACUGUGGUCUCUGAUCACAAACUGAAGAUGGGAGAGGGAUCACUAGUAGUUCAACAGAGUAUGAAGAACAGGCAUAUUUCUUUUUGAGCAAAAGGGGCGCAAAAUGUAUUUGCAUUUAAUUAAAUUACAAAAUGUCAUUCCCUGCAAGAAUCAUUUUGGAGGCUGUGCAAGAAGAGCUUUUUCUUGCCCAGAAAUAGUGCUCAAACUGUGCCUUGCUCAAACAUGUGAAAACUCUUAGCAUGCACAAUGCCAGUACUGGCUCACUACUUCCCCUCCUCCCACAGUGCAUAUUUAAAUGAUGAGUCAUUCACUGACUCUAAUCUGCCAUUCACGAUUAGCUGACAGGGAAGCUCAGCAGGAAGAGGCUCUUGGUGCAGGAGCUUCAGGAGCCAUGUGCUAUUUGAAUCAUAAAACAAGCUUUGUAAAAUAAAUGAUCCAAUCUUUUUUAUUUACUGUUAAAAAAGGUUUUGUUUAGAGAUAUGUGUAUACUUUAGUAUUCUCUUUGGGAUCUUUGUGGUUUCCAAGGGACUACACUGUUUCUCUGAAGAUUAUAUAAAUAGGUCAGAGAGCACUUGAUCCACUGCUUUUUUCCUACCAUGUGACCUGGUUACAGAGGCAAAUGGCGCUUGUUUUCCUCAGCUGAUUUUUUGUUGUGAAGUGAUCAAACUAGAUUGUGAACAGUUGGAAGAAGGAUAUGUGCUGUCGCCACCACCCAUUUCUGCACUGUUCAGUUUACUUAACAGGGUUGUACACAGGAGUUGCACAAUCACAUUGUGUUCAUUAAUCACUUGUAAUGGUCAGAGGGACUUGUGCAAGAGACAUGUAAUUGGUGCAUGCUGUCCUUGCUGUUCCCAUAAAAGCUGAUUGAGAAACACAGAUAAGCAGUAUUUUUAAAGUACUCCAAGUUAAAUAUAUGGUGAAAUAAUUAAAAACAGGCCAGGGUUUUUUUUGUUUUUGAAAAAACCUACUAUUUCAGAGCCAAACAUGCCAUUAGAGACGGUAUGUCAAUAUUCUUUAAAAAAUUAUUUAAUAGCUAAUGUAAUGAAACAUGAUUUUCAUUUGAACUGCAGCGCAUAGGGAGAAGAGAUUUAACCCUUCCUUCUCCCAAUAUGAUCCUGAUGAAAACUACCCCCCCUUAGCUCUAUGUGGGGAGGGGACACUCCAGUGGGAGUUUUCCCCCUAAGGCUAACAACGAGGGAGGUGAUUUUUGUCAGGAUGACAUCUGGGGAGACAUUUAAACCUUACCUUCCAGCAUGCUGCCAGGAUGCUUGGGUUCUAUUUGUUCUUUCACACUGAUUGUCGUAAUAACCAGAUUUCAGCAUAAACAGUGGUUUGUUGCACCACAUCCAGAUGAUUUAUUUACUAAUCAGGGAUUAGCGCCAAUACUGGUAGAUGAAUGUUGUAAUAACUUAUUAGUCUGGUAGAGCAAGUCUCAUGUUGAGUGACUCCCCACAGGACAUGUGCAGGAGGAACAUAUAUAUAUAUAUAUAUCUCAGUUUGACCCUGGGGAAGUUUAUCUGCAUGUCUAUAUUAUGAGAGCAACGUCCGUUCUGCAAUUUGCUGGGGGAGGGGUAGCUAAUCCGGAUUUCCAGCUAACAGUCACAUUUUGAGAAGACGGCAUUUCCUAAGCCUGUUUAUGGUGUACCUAUUGUUUUUAUCGAGUGAAACAGUAAAAUAAUAAUAAUAGUGGGAAAAAUGAUUCUGGCAACUAUCAGGCAAUCCAUGUGAAGUAAAAUGCUUGCUCCCCAGCCUUUCCCCCACUGCAGACAAAAGCUAAAUCUAGCCACACCCCCUGCUAAAAACAGCUGAAGCUACUUGUGACCACACCUCUCUAAAACUGCUGUCCAAACUGGCAAGCUUUACUUUGAAUGUGAAACUCAUAGCCACUCCCAGUAGCAUAAGUAAACUGCCUCCAACAGUUUCACAGCAACUGUAGUUAGAAGCCUCCCCCCUCCCCCCUCCCUCUUUUCUCAUUUGGCCAACAGAAUUGCUAGGGCCGUGUGCAAAACUAGGUUUUAGGGCUGUGUGCAAAAGCUUUUGAUGCAGCCAGAUGCACAGCGUUUCUCCUCCCUGGUGCGUUGUUCUUCAUUGUGAGCAACCUAUCCUUCAGCAAAAGGGCCGAGAGCAGCACAGAAAUCACUUGAUUUUCUUUGUAUACAUUAACUUGGUUUGUUAAACUGUAAGCUUGUCCAUUCGACAGUCAAUAACAUACGUUUUCAGUGUGCAGGCAGCACAUAGGAAGUGUAGAAUUCUGAGACGAAAAGCCAUAUGGCAGUGGUUCCCAAUUGGGGGGCCAGGGACCCCUGGGGGGUCCAUUGAACACAUCCAGGGGGUUCACAGCACCAUCCCCUGCCAGGGACUCACUUACCUUGUUAAUUGCACAAUGAAAGCCCCAUUGAUGAUCUAUAGAUCACCCAGGCUCUGCUCGUGCCCAGGGCCUGCUUGCUGGCAGGGGAAAAACUUGUGACAGAGUUGCUGGAUGGCAAGUGAACUGGGACUGGGCAAAAACCUCUGACACAGUUUAUUUGGGCUCCUGCAUUGGGGGGGGGGGAGGAGAGAGUGCAAACGGCUUGCUCCAUGGGACAGGUUCACAUGUUUAUCAUUUUAAAAAUGUAAAGGAUCCCUUCCCCUUGCUGGCCACAUGACACCGGCGCCCUCAGCCUGAAACUGAGAUGAGCGCCACAACCCCAUAGUCGCCUUUGACUGGACUUAACCUUUACCUUUUUUCUUUUUUUCUUUUUUACCUGAAAUCCUUUGCUUAUUAGAGGCCACCCCACAUUUUUUAAAAAAAAAUUGCUUUGCACGGGUAAUUUCAAAAGUAGGGGGUCUGUGACUUGGCUUUUGAAAAAUAGGGGGUCCUCAGCAAUUAGCCAAUUGCGAACCACUGCUGUAUGGUCCCGUCUAGAAUACAUACUGCCUGGCCUGUAAACUCUGCACCCUAAUUCCAAGUGUUUCAAAGCAUAACUCAAUAGUUACAGAAACACACUCUGCACAUGUUUAUUUCCAGUCAGCUUUGAAAACAGCUUCCUUUAUCUGAGCCUGUCUAUUCAAACAGUUCAAAUGUAAACUCAGAUAAGUAGCCUAGUGCAGGCACAUUUCCUGAUCUUUUAACCUUGAUAACAGAUUGGGAACACUGUGUUUUCUUACAUGCUCCCUUUCCCUUUUCUCUGCCACACAAAUUCCCCUCUUGCUACCUUUCAACGUUAACCAUAGUGUGGUGUUAUAUCAACAUCAGAGUUCAUCUUAACUAUGAUCUCACUCAGUCAGAAUUUGAAGGCAGAUUUUAAGCUGCUUUGCAAAUCCUGGUUAAAGUUUACUAUGGUGCCGACAUGACAGAAUACCAUGGUUAAUACUGGGGGAAAGGGAGAAGGGGGGUUGUCCAGAAAAGAGCAAGAAAGGCUAUGCACUGGAUUCUCUGGCUCUCUUCACAAUAAACAAUCAGAGAAAAAUACACUGGGGCUGCUUACACUAGGGAUAAAUACAGUCGUACCUUAGUUUUCAAACAGCUUAGUUCUCGAACAUUUUGGCUCCCAAAUGCCGCAAAGCCGGAAGUGAGUGUUCCAGUUUGCGAAUUAUUUUUGGAAGCUGAACAUUUGACAGGGCUUCCAUGGCUUCAGAUUGGCUGCAGGAGCUUCCUGCAGCCAAUCAGAAACCGCGCUUUGGUUUCCGAACGUUUUGGAAGUUGAACAGACUUCCGGAAUGGAUUCCGUUCAACUUCCAAGUGUUAUAGGAAUUCUAAGGUUACACACACACACACACACACACACACACAAAUGUACAAGGCAAACACAUACAUAAGUAUAUAAACCACGUGUCUGAAAUAGUACAGGAGAACAAACCUGAAGCCAUUUUGACUCUCCCAAACUGACCUCAAAUAUUUCUCUGCAAGGAGGAAGGAAAUGGGAAAAGCUUUCCAAUUGUCUUUGGACUGCAGGGGCUUACACCUCCCUGUAAAUACUGAGGAUAUUUCACCCCUCCCAUUGCAAGAAUCUGCUGAUUUUCCAGAGAGGAGGGGGCGGAUUGUGCUCGCCACUUAUUCCGCUCCAGCCUCACUUCAAAGGGAGAGACUGAGUGUUAUCUCUGUGUAGAUAAGGUCGCUGCAGAAAGCAGCUGUAACACUCAGUGCAGUCCAGCGUCUCCAUUUGUAUAUAAUUUGUAUAGUACAGUAGCUGUUAGUGAAUAAAAGAAGAUAUUCUUCAGCGCUGUCGUCCGAGUGAUUUAUUCUCUGCUAUACUCUGCUGUGCACGGCUGUCUUCUGGAAGUGAGUUCGGUGCUCACAGCUCUGAGUUGUGAGUCCACAGCACUUAGACCUGUUCCUGAAGAGAAGGUCUCUGGAAGUGCUACCGCAGCUCGCCUGGCCCAGUCGGGGCUGAAGUGGUUGAGCCUAGUCGGUGGCACUGGCUCAAGGGUGAAACUGACAUCGGUUAUGGGCCCAGUCAUUGUCCUCGUCGUCCCAGUCGUCCCAGUCGCCAGAGACUUCUGAUGCUGAUUGCCGGAUGGCAGAACGGAGGCUGCGUGCUGGACUGAUUUGCGGUGCCCAGAAGCAGAGUUGUUUCGGAGCUGUUGUUCAAGCUGUUGCUGCUGCUGCUGCUUGAUUUAUGGAGGUAUGUUGCUGGCUGCCAAGAAAAGAAGAUAGCAUCCCUGUUUGCCUGUUAAUUGCGCUCUGAGUGGGAGAGAGAGUGGCUGAAGGAGUCCAAGGCUCUAUCUGUGUUGCACGUAGGGAAGUGUCUUGCUUUAAUUAAUAGCAGACAUGGCCUGUGCACAUUUUGGCCAGAUGGCUCUGUCCUUUCCUCUCCUCAUGCCCGAGACCUAUGCAACAUGGCAGGUCAAAAUGAAAGCGCUUUUACAGAGGGAGAAGCUAUUUCACACCAUCGAAGAUGACCCUCCCCAGGAGGAUGCAGAUGAAUGGCCUGAGUGGCAUGCUGCAGACAUGAGAGCCCGGGGGACAAUUGUUUUGAGUGUUUCAGACCACUUGUUGGUAAACUUAGAGGGUCAAGAGACUGCACGAACUGUUUGGCAUAAACUGAGAGAUAUGCAUUUGAGGCAAAAUGCCGGUUCCAGUGUGAUUUUCUUCAAGAAGCUGUUCAGGUUGCAGUUAGAGAAAGGUGGUGAUUUGUCUAGCCAUCUGUCUCAAUUAAAACGCCUCAGACAGGACCUUGUUCAGCGAGACCUGGCUAUUUCAGAGGCUGUGUUUGCAAUGCCGAUGAUAAAUAGCCUAGACAAUUCCUACGACGGAGUAGCUGCUCAGAUUUCUACCAUGCCUGCUGACCGGCUAACAGAAAAUUAUGUGUCUAGCAUGCUCUUGAAUGAGUGGGGUCGCAGACAGGCUGUUAGAGAAAGCCGUGACAGUGCUGUUGCAAAUAUGCCUGAGUCUUCAGCAGGGGAAAGUGAAACAGCUGCUAAAGCUCUGAAAUUGUGGUGAUGCUUUUCGUGUGGAGCCCAAGGCCAUUUGAGUUUCCAGUGCAGCAAGAAAACUUCAAAGAAGAAGGGAAACUUCAAAGGCAGAGGGGGAGGAGGACGAAAUUCCCAAGCACCUGCUACUUCAAAGGCUUUGAUCUCUCGCUGCUCCAAUCAACGUGGGCGGAGUUUCUUUGUGGUCGACUCUGGCUGUACCAACCACGUGGCCAAAGAUAAGAAUCUCUUUGUUCAGCUUAAGAAGCAAGAGAAAGCAAUUCAUCAAGCUGAUGGGACUGUUCUCACGAGUUUGGCUAAGGGAACUGUGUUCUUAAAGAGCCUGAAUGCAACAAUUAAGAAUGUCCUGUAUGCUCCUCAUCUUCAGGACAAUCUUUUGAGUGUUUCGCAGCUUGAUCAUCAAGGGUUUAAGGUGGUUUUUGCUGGAUCUCGUUGUGAAAUUCAUCGAGAUGGCAAGCUCAUUCUGUAUGCCAAAUGUGUUGAUGGUUUGUACCAAAUGCCUUUUGUUACAGGUACUGCUGAAGCAACUGAGAAAGCAUGCUGUAACAUAUCUGUAGAUAAGAAUGAGAAGCUGCAUGAUCAAUGUAUUCAUGAUUACCUCCGUCUUUAUGGUCAUUUGAAUUUUCAGGCUGUGGCAAAAAUGCCUAAUAUGGUUGAGGGCAUGAAGUUGAAAAAGUGUCCUUACCAUAUGAAAUGUGUUUCUUGUGCUGAGAAUAAGGCAAGGCAAGCUCCCAAAGGUGUAAAAUCUAGGAGAGAGGCCAAGAAACCAUAUGAAGUCAUUCAUGCUGACUUAGUGGGGCCUCUAGCGCUCUCUAGAGGCAACUCACGGUUAUUCAUGGUGUUGAUAGACUCCUAUUCGAGAUAUGUUUAGGUCUAUAUGCUACAGAAAAAGUCUGAAGCUUUCACCAAGUUUCGCCAAUUUUGUACAUGGCUCAGGAAUGUAACACAAUGAGAGCAUACAUUGUCUGUUCACUGACAGGGGUGGAGAGUUUUGUUCAGAAGAGUUUGAGAGUUUUCUUACUGAACAGGGCAUUGAGCAUAUGACUGCCACGCCCAGAUCACCCUGGCAGAAUGGUUUAUGUGAGAGAGUAAACCAAACCUUGCAACAAGGUAUCAGAACUCUGUUGCACGAUUUGGGCCUGCCCAAUCCCUUUUGGGCCGAAGCUCUUUCAUGUUUCUCUCACGUGUACAAUCAAAGGUAUCAGUCUGCUAUAGAUGGCACCCCAUACGAGAUGCUUCACAAAAGGAAGCCGUAUGUAAAGCAUUUUAAAAUUUUUGGUUCGGAGGUAUGGGUGCAUACUUUGCAGGAUAACAAACUGAGCAAGCGUGGUGAACAUGGUGUUUUUCUAGGGUAUGAGAAGGGUUCUUAUCGUGUCUUGAUCACUGACACGAAAACAAUCAAGUUGACCAGAAGCAUUGACUAUAAUCCAAAAUGGGACAGAGUUGGCAUUUUUCAAUGUCAUCCCAUUUGUGAUGAUGGUGCAAAAACAGUUAAGUUCUGUUGUGGUUGAUGAUAAUUCUAAUGUUGAUGUAGAUCCUGGUGAUGACACAAAUUAUCAAAGCCCAAAAGCCUCAGAUGAGUCUGAUGCUGAUUCAGACUCAGCACCUUCAUUUUCUUUAGGUCACCAUUCUCCCAAAGAGGAGGAGACACCAGACCCAGAGGAUCAGAGAGUUUUGCAGAGAUCCGAAAGAACUACGAAGGGUGUACCACCUAAAAGGUUCUCUAAAGAGUUCGCUAAGGCUGCAGUCACAAGCAACUCUGGUGCAGUUUUUGAACCAGCCAAUUAUAAGGAAGGUAAGAACCUGUCCGCAAAUAAUGCUGAACCUUGGCUGAAUGCCAUGAAAGCUGAAUUGAAUUCCCUAAAACAGAACGAUACUUGGGAAUUGGUUCCAGCAGAACCAGGCAUGAAGUGUGUAGACAGUAGGUGGGUCUACAAGGUAAAAACUGAUCAGAGCGGAAAAAUAGUCAGACACAAAGCCAGACUAGUGGCGCGAGGUUUUUCUCAGACACCUGAUCAGGAUUACCAUGAAACGUAUUCUCCAACAGUAAGGUUUGAAAGUGUUAGACUGUUGUUGAAGACAGCUGCCCAAGAAGGUAUGACAAUUUCCCAUCAUGACGUUAAUACUGCGUUUUUGUAUGGCGUUCUCAAUGAGAAUAUCUAUAUGUCACUGCCAGAUGGUGUGCAGAUAAAAGAGGGAAUGGUUUGCAAGCUGAAAAAAUCCCUGUACGGUUUAAAACAGAGUGCACGGUGCUGGCACACCAAGCUAACUGAAGUAUCUGUUCUCCUUAGGUUUUGUGCAAGGAAAGGCUGAUUCGUGUGUUUUUGUUAAAGAGUCGAAUCAGCACAAGCUUUAUUGCAUUUGUUUUGUAGAUGACAUAUUAUUUAUGUGGAAGAAUGAAAACAUCUACAAAAGCACUCUGGCAAAGUUGCAGAAGCAUUUUGACUUAAAAGACCUAGGAGAAGUCAGCAAUUAUCUCUCGCUUGAGAUUGAGAGAAAUGCACAGGGGGAUGUUUUGCUGCGUCAGUCACGUAAGAUCACUGAUGUCAUAGAGAAGUUGAACCUGAGUGACGCCAAUCCUAUAGAUACCCCCAUGGUCGCAGGUUAUCAGCAUGAUGCUAAAGCUGAUGUUUUUCCUGAUGCAACACUUUUUAGAAGUGUAUUGGGUAAACUUAGUUUCAUAGCAAGAUGUUCAAGUCCAGACAUUGCUGUGACUGUGAAUUUAAUCAGCAGAUAUCCAAAUACACCCACAGUUCAGGAUUGGAAAGCGCUAAAACGAUUAGCAAGAUAUUUGAAAGGAACUGUGGAUUUACUAGUCAAAAAUCUGGAGGUCUUGAGAUCUAUGCAGACGCCAGUUUUGGUAGUGACACAAUUGACGGCAAAAGCACAUCAGGAGUGUGUUAUCUGUACAGUCAAUGUCUUUUUGAUUGGUGUUGCAGAAAGCAAGCAACGGUAAGCUUAAGUUCUUGCGAGGCAGAGCUUAAUGCUUUAACUCUUUCUCUGAUGGACGUAGAGUGUUUGCAGCAACUGUUUGAAGAUAUAAAAGUGAAGGUCACUUUUCCUGUUCAAGUGUAUCAGGAUAAUAAAGCAUGUAUAACAUUGCUCAACUCAGAAGGAUGUAAGCAGAGGACAAAAUAUCUGCAAACCAAGCUUCAUUGAGCUUGGGAAUGUGUCCAAAGUGGUGUUGUAAAAGUGUCUUAUAUGCCGGGGAAAGAGAUACCUGCAGAUGUUUUAGCAAAGGUUGUUAGCAAAGAACAACUUUUGUAGUGUGUACGCAAGUUGCAGUUAUGCUAGAUUCUGCAAUGGUUGGAAUGAAAGGGGGAGGAUGAGGAUAUUUCACCCCUCCCAUUGCAAGAAUCUGCUGAUUUUCCAGAGAGGAGGGGGCGGAUUGUGCUCGCUACUUAUUCCGCUCCAGCCACACUUCAAAGGGAGAGACUGAGUGUUAUCUCUGUGUAGAUAAGGUCGUUGCAGAAAGCAGCUGUAACACUCAGUGCAGUCCAGCGUCUCCAUUUGUAUAUAAUUUGUAUAGUACAGUAGCUGUUAGUGAAUAAAAGAAGAUAUUCUUAAGCGCUGUCGUCCGAGUGAUUUAUUCUCUGCUAUACUCUGCUGUGCACGGCUGUCUUCUGGAAGUGAGUUCGGUGCUCACAGCUCUGAGUUGUGAGUCCACAGCACUUAGACCUGUUCCUGAAGAGAAGGUCUCUGGAAGUGCUACCCCAGUUCGCCUGGCCCAGUCGGGGCUGAAGUGGUUGAGCCUAGUCGGUGGCACUGGCUCAAGGGCGAAGCUGACAAAUACAGUCUGGCAAGUAUCUGUUAAGCUGAGCACACUAUCAAUAUGCGUAAGAGAUUCAGGAACUAAGUAUUUACCAUCUCAAAGGAAUGGCCAGGCUACCCAGAAAAGGCAAUCAGAUAAAGCAUUAUCAGGUAUCCUGGCAGACAGGAGAGAAGCAACACACUCAAAUUUCUGCUGGGGACCACCUCUUUCUGUGAUGGAUGUAUGAUGUUUUUGGGGGUAGUCUUGAGCUACAGGGGAGGCAAUUUCAAAUGUCUAUAUAAGAGCUUGGACACCAUUGUUUUGGGUUCCUGUCCUCCCUCCCUGCGUGGGGUGAGCAGGGGACCCUUUUGCAACAGUUUAAUAAAGAUCAUGCUUACUAGCUGCCUUGCUUCUCAAUAUUCUCUGUUAUUU